UACGUAGGGUGCAAGCGUUGUCCGGAUUUAUUGGGCGUAAAGAGCGUGUAGGCGGCCAGACAGGUCAGCUGUGAAAACUCGAGGCUCAACCUCGAGACGUCGGUUGAAACCGUCUGGCUAGAGUCCGGAAGAGGAGUGUGGAAUUCCUGGUGUAGCGGUGAAAUGCGCAGAUAUCAGGAAGAACACCUAUGGCGAAGGCAGCACUCUGGGACGGUACUGACGCUGAGACGCGAAAGCGUGGGGAGCGAACAGG
rnacentral:rRNA from 1 species